rnacentral:rRNA from 1 species
UACGUAGGGUGCGAGCGUUGUCCGGAAUUAUUGGGCGUAAAGAGCUCGUAGGCGGUGUGUUACGUCGGCCGUGAAAACCUGCAGCUUAACUGUGGGCGUGCGGUCGAUACGGGCAUCACUGGAGUUCGGCAGGGGAGACUGGAAUUCCCGGUGUAGCGGUGAAAUGCGCAGAUAUCGGGAGGAACACCGGUGGCGAAGGCGGUUCUCUGGGCCUGACCUGACGCUGAGGAGCGAAAGCGUGGGGAGCGAACAGG